rnacentral:rRNA from 1 species
GCAUAUGUGGGAGCCUAUGGGAUGUACCCAAUUCUGUCUGCUCUUAGAAGCUAAGCAGUUCUGGGACCAACUAGUACUUGAAUGGGAGACCACUAGGGAAUCUCAGAUGCCAUUAGCA